UGGGGAAUAUUGCGCAAUGGGCGAAAGCCUGACGCAGCCAUACCGCGUGUGUGAAGAAGGCCUUCGGGUUGUAAAGCACUUUCAGUGGGGAGGAAAAGCGGGUGGCUAAUAUCCAUCGGCCGUGACGCUACCCACAGAAGAAGCACCGGCUAAUUCCGUGCCAGCAGCCGCGGUAAUACGGAAGGUGCGAGCGUUAAUCGGAAUUACUGGGCGUAAAGCGCACGUAGGUGGCUUGGUAAGUCGGAUGUGAAAGCCCCGGGCUCAACCUGGGAACGGCAUUCGAUACUGCUGAGCUAGAGUACGAAAGAGGGGGGUGGAAUUCCAGGUGUAGCGGUGAAAUGCGUAGAGAUCUGGAGGAACACCGGUGGCGAAGGCGGCCCCCUGGUUCGAUACUGACGCUGAGGUGCGAAAGCGUGGGGAGCAAACAGG
rnacentral:rRNA from 1 species